rnacentral:pre_miRNA from 1 species
UUUAAAUGUUUUCUGUUUGUAUUUUGGUUACUGUUUUUUUUGCAUCUUUUCAACAGGAAGAUUUUUUCUGUUGAUAGGGGGAGGUGUAACAGUAAUUAUCAAAUAGAAUAUAUAUUCU